rnacentral:rRNA from 1 species
GACGAACGCUGGCGGCGUGCUUAACACAUGCAAGUCGAACGGAAAGGCCCUGCUUUUGUGGGGUGCUCGAGUGGCGAACGGGUGAGUAACACGUGAGUAACCUGCCCUUGACUUUGGGAUAACUUCAGGAAACUGGGGCUAAUACCGGAUAGGAGCUCCUGCUGCAUGGUGGGGGUUGGAAAGUUUCGGCGGUUGGGGAUGGACUCGCGGCUUAUCAGCUUGUUGGUGGGGUAGUGGCUUACCAAGGCUUUGACGGGUAGCCGGCCUGAGAGGGUGACCGGCCACAUUGGGACUGAGAUAGGGCCCACACUCCUACGGGAGGGAGCAGUGAGGAAUAUUGCUCAAUGGGCGGAAGCCUGAUGCAGCAAGGCCGCGUGCGUGAUGACUGCCUUCGGGUGGGAAACCGCUUUCGCCUGUGACGAAGCGUGAGUGACGGUAAUGGGUAAAGAAGCACCGGCUAACUACGUG